GUUACAUGUUGAAGGCUUUCUCUUUGAGACUGUCCGUUGUUGAAAUUGUUGUAUAUCACUGUGGAAAAUUAUUGUUGAGUGACUCGCGCGUGAUUGUUUUUUGCUGUUUUCUCCCCAUUGUGGAGCUGAAAAGUUGGAAAAUUAAGGACGUUCGUGUGUUGCCUUGGCGGAGAUUUACACUCUUUGA